GGCGUAACUACUAUGGGCUCGGACUGGGAGAAUCCGGGGGCCACCAACCCCAAUGGGCCCGCAAAUGGGGGGCCCCAGGCUCAGGCUAUAGAGCAAAAACAUUGGCCAAGGGCCUCUGAUAUGUUACAAUGGCAUUUUCUGACCAUCAGAAUUCUGUAAAAUCUCUCCCCAAAGUCCGGGAAAUGGUAUUUCAGAGAAUUUAGAUUCAAAAAUUUUCCGGGCAUAUAUGGUGCUUAAAGAUAUAAUUUUGCAGUGUGUAUUAAAGGGAUAUUUUUUUGUCAAGAGAACAGUUUCGUUAACAUUUGUAUAGUUGUAUUGGAAAAAAAAUUACAUGCGAGAAGACAUAUUUAAAAAAAACAUGCAUACACAGCUGACAACCUGGAAAAAAAAUGCAAACAAAAAAAAUUUACCCCCCCCCCCAUCACUUUUCUAAUGGUCCGUCCCUAAU